CCUACGGGGGGCUGCAGUGGGGAAUAUUGGACAAUGGGGGGAACCCUGAUCCAGCCAUGCCGCGUGUGUGAAGAAGGCCCUCGGGUUGUAAAGCACUUUCAGUGAGGAAGAACGCCUGGUGGUUAAUACCCAUCAGGAAAGACAUCACUCACAGAAGAAGCACCGGCUAACUCCGUGCCAGCAGCCGCGGUAAUACGGAGGGUGCGAGCGUUAAUCGGGAUUACUGGGCGUAAAGCGCGCGUAGGUGGCUUGAUAAGCCGGUUGUGAAAGCCCCGGGCUCAACCUGGGAACGGCAUCCGGAACUGUCAAGCUAGAGUGCAGGAGAGGAAGGUAGAAUUCCCGGUGUAGCGGUGAAAUGCGUAGAGAUCGGGAGGAAUACCAGUGGCGAAGGCGGCCUUCUGGACUGACACUGACACUGAGGUGCGAAAGCGUGGGUAGCAAACAGGAUUAGAUACCCCAGUAGUC
rnacentral:rRNA from 1 species